ensembl:lncRNA
CUUAACUUACAACUUCUUAGCCAAAAAAGAGGCCAAUUAUUCUUGGCUCCCACAUGACCUCUUCAAAGUAUACCCUGGAAAUCUCAGAGGGCUCUUUCAAGCAGAACGAUUUAAGAGACAGAGGAAAAUAACAAAAGGGGGAUCAGACCAAGGAGAACCCUGUUCAAACUGGGCAAGAACCAUGACAGAUGAAGUCAGUGGAAUAUUUGAAGGCAUGUAAAGGUAAACAGAAUUGUCCAGAUUCUUUUCCUUUCUGAAUUAAUCAUACCACAGAGAACCCAAGUGACAAACUUUUUUCAAGAUCCUCAAGGAAACUUAAACCCAUUUUGAUCUGUUCAUAAUCAGCAACCCACUGAGUCACCUGUAUUUCUAAGGUAAGGUGAAGAUCAAUUAAUACAAUCCUAACAAAUAUUAGGCAAGUGUAUCUCCCGAAGGCACUGCAAGACAUUCCACUGCCCUAAUAUCUGCACCUUGGGACCAGAUGUGUAAAAGUUCACGUGGAAGGAGGUGGGACCAUCUCCGAGGAUGCUGUGGCUCAGAGACAAAAACGGAUGUGCCCAAGAUCACCCAGAAAGGAGAAAUAAUGACUAUCAACUUGGCUUUGAUUUUAAACAUUACCUUGUGGGCCACCCCCCUUACCCCAAGGUUUUAACUUCAGAUUGGUGAAACAAGAUCCUUAUUCAAAUGUUUUCCAAAAAAUGUUCUCCUCUAAGACAAUGCCUUUAUAAUUCAACAUAAUACGAGUGGAGUGAAGCUAGUAGGGUCCUGCUGUGUGAACCAAGGCCCAGGUGGACAACAAAAUGUUGGUGACACUUCUCCCAAUGGCACAAUGAAAUCAUUAGAUGAUGGCCUUCCCACGGAAGGUCUGCCCUAUGGGAUAUCUUGGUCCAUGCUCCCCAGAAGUCGCUCUGUCACUGGAUGCUGAACACAGCUCAUAUAUGUUUGCUUAUAUCUCAGUUCAAAUAGUACUAUGUUUUGGAUCUUCAAUGUCUCCUAAAGGCCCGUGUGUUAAAGGCUCAGUCCCCAGCUUGGUGCUAACAGGAAGUGGUAGAAACUCCACGAGGUGGGGCCUAGAGGGAGUUCUUCAAUCACUGAGAUGGUGCCCUUGAAGGGAUAUUAGGGCUCUGUCUCCUUCCUCUCUCUGCUUUCUUGUCCCCGUGAGGUGAAGAGCCAAGUUCUACUGUACACUCUCACCAGGACGUGCUGCCUUGCCACACUCUAAAGGCCGUGGGGCCUACCAACAACAGACUAAAACUACUGGGGCUGAUUCUUCAACCUUCUCAGCAGCUUGCUGCCUCGGAGUAAGGCAGGAAGAGGCAAAUGCUGAGAAUGCCGAAUGGGGGCAGAGUUGUACCAGUAAAAAGGAAUACGAUCCUGAGAACACCUACGAACCCAGGACCUUGAAGACAGAGAAUGGGGUCCUAAAUAGCAUGGGCCUCCCACUAUGCUUUGUAGUUUGAUAAGAAAAUUUCUACCACUCGGGAGCCGGGGGACACAUCUCCCUACUCACUUGGUAACAGAGUAAAUGAGUAACCAAUCAUCAGCAGUCAAGUUGUCACAGGAUGGAAAGAGGAGCUCAAGUGACAUUCCAG